CAACUGUCCUGUUUGCCUAUCUGAGAGGAGUGCUGCAUAGGACACCAACACAACUGAGCUUCACAGAUGAAGUGCAGAGGCCAUCAUAUAUGCCCUGGCUGCCCUACGGAAUUUCUCCUUGCAGGAGGCUGAGCAGGUCUUCCUUUCUGGUCCAGAUUAUCAUUACAGGAGUUGAAGCCUAUAGCCAUUCUGUCCA